GGUUAAGCGACUAAGCGUACACGGUGGAUGCCCUGGCAGUCAGAGGCGAUGAAGGACGUGCUAAUCUGCGAAAAGCGACGGCGAGGUGAUAUGAACCUUUGACCCGUCGAUGUCCGAAUGGGGAAACCCAGUGUGAUUCGUCACACUAUCGUUAACUGAAUACAUAGGUUAACGAGGCGAACCGGGGGAACUGAAACAUCUAAGUACCCCGAGGAAAAGAAAUCAACCGAGAUUCCCCCAGUAGCGGCGAGCGAACGGGGAGCAGCCCGGAGUCUGAAUCAGCUUGUGUGUUAGUGGAAGCGUCUGGAAAGUCGCACGGUACAGGGUGACAGUCCCGUACACGAAAGCACACAGGUUGUGAACUCGAAGAGUAGGGCGGGACACGUGGUAUCCUGUCUGAAUAUGGGGGGACCAUCCUCCAAGGCUAAAUACUCCUGACUGACCGAUAGUGAACCAGUACCGUGAGGGAAAGGCGAAAAGAACCCCGGCGAGGGGAGUGAAAAAGAACCUGAAACCGUGUACGUACAAGCAGUGGGAGCACCUUCGGGUGUGACUGCGUACCUUUUGUAUAAUGGGUCAGCGACUUAUAUUCUGUAGCAAGGUUAACCGUAUAGGGGAGCCGCAGGGAAACCGAGUCUUAACUGGGCGUUAAGUUGCAGGGUAUAGACCCGAAACCCGGUGAUCUAGCCAUGGGCAGGUUGAAGGUUGGGUAACACUAACUGGAGGACCGAACCGACUAAUGUUGAAAAAUUAGCGGAUGACCUGUGGCUGGGGGUGAAAGGCCAAUCAAACCGGGAGAUAGCUGGUUCUCCCCGAAAGCUAUUUAGGUAGCGCCUCGUGAACUCAUCUUCGGGGGUAGAGCACUGUUUCGGCUAGGGGGCCAUCCCGGCUUACCAACCCGAUGCAAACUACGAAUACCGAAGAAUGUUAUCACGGGAGACACACGGCGGGUGCUAACGUCCGUCGUGAAGAGGGAAACAACCCAGACCGCCAGCUAAGGUCCCAAAGUCAUGGUUAAGUGGGAAACGAUGUGGGAAGGCACAGACAGCCAGGAUGUUGGCUUAGAAGCAGCCAUCAUUUAAAGAAAGCGUAAUAGCUCACUGGUCGAGUCGGCCUGCGCGGAAGAUGUAACGGGGCUAAACCAUGCACCGAAGCUGCGGCAGCGACACUAUGUGUUGUUGGGUAGGGGAGCGUUCUGUAAGCCGUUGAAGGUGUGCUGUGAGGCAUGCUGGAGGUAUCAGAAGUGCGAAUGCUGACAUAAGUAACGAUAAAGCGGGUGAAAAGCCCGCUCGCCGGAAGACCAAGGGUUCCUGUCCAACGUUAAUCGGGGCAGGGUGAGUCGACCCCUAAGGCGAGGCCGAAAGGCGUAGUCGAUGGGAAACAGGUUAAUAUUCCUGUACUUGGUGUUACUGCGAAGGGGGGACGGAGAAGGCUAUGUCAGCCGGGCGACGGUUGUCCCGGUUUAAGCGUGUAGGUGUGUGUUCCAGGCAAAUCCGGUUCACUUUAACACUGAGGCGUGAUGACGAGGCACUACGGUGCUGAAGUGAUAAAUGCCCUGCUUCCAGGAAAAGCCUCUAAGCAUCAGGUAACACGAAAUCGUACCCCAAACCGACACAGGUGGUCAGGUAGAGAAUACCAAGGCGCUUGAGAGAACUCGGGUGAAGGAACUAGGCAAAAUGGUGCCGUAACUUCGGGAGAAGGCACGCUGAUAUGUAGGUGAAGCCCCUGCGGGCGGAGCUGAAAUCAGUCGAAGAUACCAGCUGGCUGCAACUGUUUAUUAAAAACACAGCACUGUGCAAACACGAAAGUGGACGUAUACGGUGUGACGCCUGCCCGGUGCCGGAAGGUUAAUUGAUGGGGUUAGCGGCAACGCGAAGCUCUUGAUCGAAGCCCCGGUAAACGGCGGCCGUAACUAUAACGGUCCUAAGGUAGCGAAAUUCCUUGUCGGGUAAGUUCCGACCUGCACGAAUGGCGUAAUGAUGGCCAGGCUGUCUCCACCCGAGACUCAGUGAAAUUGAACUCGCUGUGAAGAUGCAGUGUACCCGCGGCAAGACGGAAAGACCCCGUGAACCUUUACUAUAGCUUGACACUGAACACUGGUCCUUGAUGUGUAGGAUAGGUGGGAGGCUUUGAAGCGUGGACGCCAGUCUGCGUGGAGCCGUCCUUGAAAUACCACCCUUUAAUGGCUGGUGUUCUAACGUGGACCCGUAAUCCGGGUUGCGGACAGUGUCUGGUGGGUAGUUUGACUGGGGCGGUCUCCUCCCAAAGAGUAACGGAGGAGCACGAAGGUUAGCUAAUCCUGGUCGGACAUCAGGAGGUUAGUGCAAUGGCAUAAGCUAGCUUGACUGCGAGAGUGACGGCUCGAGCAGGUGCGAAAGCAGGUCAUAGUGAUCCGGUGGUUCUGAAUGGAAGGGCCAUCGCUCAACGGAUAAAAGGUACUCCGGGGAUAACAGGCUGAUACCGCCCAAGAGUUCAUAUCGACGGCGGUGUUUGGCACCUCGAUGUCGGCUCAUCACAUCCUGGGGCUGAAGUAGGUCCCAAGGGUAUGGCUGUUCGCCAUUUAAAGUGGUACGCGAGCUGGGUUUAGAACGUCGUGAGACAGUUCGGUCCCUAUCUGCCGUGGGCGCUGGAGAAUUGAGGGGGGCUGCUCCUAGUACGAGAGGACCGGAGUGGACGCAUCACUGGUGUUCGGGUUGUCAUGCCAAUGGCACUGCCCGGUAGCUAAAUGCGGAAGAGAUAAGUGCUGAAAGCAUCUAAGCACGAAACUUGCCCCGAGAUGAGUUCUCCCUGAGACUUUAAGUCUCCUGAAGGAACGUUGAAGACGACGACGUUGAUAGGCCGGGUGUGUAAGCGCAGCGAUGCGUUGAGCUAACCGGUACUAAUGAACCGUGAGGCUUAACCUU
rnacentral:rRNA from 1 species